GGGCAUAUGGUGUAGAUGGUUUAUCACGCUCGCUUAGCAUCUUUGCGUGUGCGAGAGGUCUCCGGUUCAAGUCCGGAUUUGUCCA